AGGGAAAUGAAGGUUCCUCGCCACAUGCUGCUGUCCAUAAAUGCGUUUGGCAAGUCCAGAAUGUCAGCAAUUAGCAACUGGGCCCAGGCACCCUAAUGAGAUUCAGACUGAGCGUCAAAGAAGAAAUUCUUCCACUGACUAAUCGGGUUCUCUGUUUCACGUGUGAAAUGAGCUGGAAGCCAGGAACUGGAGAGCUUGGGUUUCUCGCCCACACCCUGCCACAGCCCUGAGUCAUAGCCUUCUAAUACAUAAGAGGUUUAUGUGGAUGUUUAUUUUCUUUAGUUUGUUUAGCAGGCAAAGUUACAGAAAACCAUAUAGUCAGCCCUCUGCCCAGGCUCUCCAUUCAAAAGUUCAACCAACCUAGGACCAAUAGUAUUGGUGGGAACUGUGUCCUGUAUAAGCUGAAUAUAUGCAUUGUUUCCUGUCAUUGUUUCCUGUCAAUGCCGCAUACCAACUGUUGACACAGCCUGGAUGGUAUGUUAAAUAAGUGACAUAGAGGGUGAAAGGCGACUUGAAGCAUGCAUAAAAUCUAUGAAAAUGCUGUCAUUGUGAACAAGCGACCUGAGCUUUCUCUGAUUUGGUCACCUGAAGAGGAAGGAAGAUCUUAAGGACAGUGAGGGGCCAACUCUAUUUCCCUAAAGAAAUGAAAUAUCACUGUGUGUGUUCUUAGGAUAACUGUUUGAGUCACCCAGAGCCCAGGAAGGUUGAAGAUUCUCCCUGAGCAGAAUGUGGUGCUCAUUAACUCCAUGCUGACCUGGCAAGGCAUGGGUUUCCAGGUUCUGGUCCCCACCUGUCAUUUCUGAGCCUGAACUUCCGGCAUCUGGUGGCUGACAGGCAGGGCUGGUAUCUGUGGCUUAACCUACUUACUUGCGACAGUCUCCGGCAGCUACAGGUGGCAGGAAAUGGGAACAUAGGGGCUUAAGGUAGAGCCGCCUGCAGGAAAGAAAGGAUGAGCAGAUGGUAGGCGAAACCUGAGGAGUCUUUUUGGAUCAGUCAUCAGCAGUUCACAGUGAGCAGGAACUAUGUCAAACCCAGAAGUUAGCACACUGAAGUCUCAAAGGCGGCCGGGCCACAGGACAAGAGGGUCCUCUGCAGUUGAGGACCUGGAAACAGGAAAAUGAGAAGGAGAGAGAGGAGAACUUCCAGGGACUCAGCAAAAGGGUCCCUUACAGAG
rnacentral:lncRNA from 1 species